rnacentral:rRNA from 1 species
AGAGUUUGAUCGUGGCUCAGAACGAACGCUGACGGCGUGCCUAACACAUGCAAGUCGAGCGCGAAAAGGGCAACCUGAGUAGAGCGGCGCACGGGUGCGUAACACGUGGGUAAUCUGCCUUAGAGUCGAGGAUAACCUUCCGAAAGGUUGGCUAAUACUCGGUAAGCUUACGGUGUCUUCGGACGCUGUGGGAAAAGUAGGCCUCUGUUUACAAGCUUACGCUCCAAGAUGAGCCCGCGGCCCAUCAGCUAGUUGGCGGGGUAACGGCCCACCGAGGCAACGACGGGUAGCUGGUCUGAGAGGACGAUCAGCCACACUGGAACUGAGACACGGUCCAGACUCCUACGGGAGGCAGCAGUGGGGAAUUUUCCACAAUGGGCGAAAGCCUGAUGGAGCAACGCCGCGUGUGUGAUGAAGGUUUUCGGAUCGUAAAGCACUUUCGACCGGGACGAAAAACCUCUGGCUAACAUCCAGGGGCCUGACGGUACCGGGAGAAGAAGCACCGGCUAACUCUGUGCCAGCAGCCGCGGUAAUACAGAGGGUGCAAGCGUUGUUCGGAAUUAUUGGGCGUAAAGCGCGUGUAGGCGGCUUGGCAAGUCAGAUGUGAAAGCCCUCGGCUUAACCGAGGAAGUGCGUCUGAAACUGCUGAGCUUGAGUCUCGGAGAGGAUGGCGGAAUUCCGCAAGUAGAGGUGAAAUUCGUAGAUAUGCGGAGGAACACCGGUGGCGAAGGCGGCCAUCUGGACGAGUACUGACGCUGAGACGCGAAAGCGUGGGGAGCAAACAGGAUUAGAUACCCUGGUAGUCCACGCUGUAAACGAUGAGAACUAGGUGUCGUGGGUGUUGACCCCCGCGGUGCCGCAGCUAACGCAUUAAGUUCUCCGCCUGGGAAGUACGGCCGCAAGGCUAAAACUCAAAAGAAUUGACGG